GAUAGCUUCUCCUCUUUAACAACUUUGGAGGUCUUCACUGCUGAUCUCUGCUUUAGAUGGGAUUCAAAGAGGUUCAAUAAAGUGACAAACGCAACAUCCGUUCACAGGGACAUUUCCAUUUGACAAAUCUUAACAAGCUGACAAGAAGCGUGCUAUGCAAAUUACAAAGUGAGCCCAAAUGAAUGCCCUUUUUGCGCGCAACGAGAAAUGGUUAAGGCAAAUAAUAGGAGCCGACCAGGGAGCGAAAUACGAAGAGCAACUGACUGAAAAUAGGGACAGAAAUCUCACAUCUUUCUCUACCAGGUGUUGCUCGAAAGGCGGGUUCCACUUCCCACGAACCCAUUCCCUCUGCAACCUCAAG
rnacentral:lncRNA from 1 species